UACGUAGGGUGCAAGCGUUAAUCGGAAUUACUGGGCGUAAAGCGUGCGCAGGCGGUUAUGUAAGACAGGUGUGAAAUCCCCGGGCUUAACCUGGGAACUGCAUCUGUGACUGCAUAGCUAGAGUACGGUAGAGGGGGAUGGAAUUCCGCGUGUAGCAGUGAAAUGCGUAGAUAUGCGGAGGAACACCGAUGGCGAAGGCAAUCCCCUGGACCUGUACUGACGCUCAUGCACGAAAGCGUGGGGAGCAAACAGG
rnacentral:rRNA from 1 species